AUUGAACGCUGGCGGCACGCCUUACACAUGCAAGUCGAACGGCAGCACGGGUGCUUGCACCUGGUGGCGAGUGGCGAACGGGUGAGUAAUACAUCGGAACGUACCUUAUCGUGGGGGAUCACGCAGCGAAAGCUGUGCUAAUACCGCAUACGCCCUGAGGGGGAAAGCGGGGGAUCGAAAGACCUCGCGCGAUUAGAGCGGCCGAUGCCUGAUUAGCUUGUUGGUGGGGUAAAAGCCCACCAAGGCGACGAUCAGUAGCUGGUCUGAGAGGACGAUCAGCCACACUGGGACUGAGACACGGCCCAGACUCCUACGGGAGGCAGCAGUGGGGAAUUUUGGACAAUGGGGGCAACCCUGAUCCAGCAAUGCCGCGUGAGUGAAGAAGGCCUUCGGGUUGUAAAGCUCUUUUGUCAGGGAAGAAACACCGGCUCUAACACAGUCCGGGAAUGACGGUACCUGAAGAAUAAGCACCGGCUAACUACGUGCCAGCAGCCGCAGUAA
rnacentral:rRNA from 1 species